GCAGUCGUGGCCGAGUGGUUAAGGCGAUGGACUUGAAAUCCAUUGGGGUUUCCCCGCCGCGUAGGUUCGAAUCCUACCGGCUGCG